CAGCAGCCGCGGGAAUACGUAGGUGGCAAGCGUUGUCCGGAAUUAUUGGGCGUAAAGCGCACGCAGGUGGUUUAAUAAGUCUGAUGUGAAAGCCCCCGGCUCAACCGGGGAGGGUCAUUGGAAACUGGGAAACUUGAGUGCAGAAGAGGAGAGUGGAAUUCCACGUGUAGCGGUGAAAUGCGUAGAUAUAUGGAGGAACACCGGUGGCGAAAGCAGCUCUCUGGCUUGUAACUGACGCUGAGGCUCGAAAGCGUGGGGAGCAAACAGGAUUAGAUACCCGCGUGUCCCUGUCUCUUAUACA
rnacentral:rRNA from 1 species